AACGUAGGACGCAAGCGUUAUCCGGAGUUACUGGGCGUAAAGCGCGGGCAGGCGGCUCGAAACGUCUGAUGUGAAAUCUCCUCGCUCAACGGGGAGAGGCCAUUGGAAACGGUCGAGCUGGAGGGCAGUAGAGGAGAGUGGAAUUCCUGGUGUAGCGGUGAAAUGCGUAGAGAUCAGGAGGAACAUCAAUGGCGAAGGCAGCUCUCUGGACUGUAACUGACGCUGAGGCGCGAAAGCGUGGGUAGCAAACAGG
rnacentral:rRNA from 1 species